GACGAACGCUGGCGGCGUGCUUAACACAUGCAAGUCGAGCGAUGAAAGCCUUAUGAACUAUUCGUAGUGAUUGGGGCCGGAUUAGCGGCGGACGGGUGAGUAACGCGUGAGCAACCUGCCUUAAACAACGGGAUAGCCUCGGGAAACCGGGAUUAAUACCGUAUGAGACCCCGCCUUCACAUGAAGAAGAGGUUAAAGAUUUAUCGGUUUAAGAUGGGCUCGCGUCUGAUUAGCUAGUUGGUGAGAUAAAAGCCCACCAAGGCAACGAUCAGUAACCGGCUUGAGAGGGUGAACGGUCACAUUGGAACUGAGACACGGUCCAAACUCCUACGGGAGGCAGCAGUGGGGAAUAUUGCACAAUGGGGGAAACCCUGAUGCAGCGACGCCGCGUGAGCGAUGAAGGAAUUCGUUUCGUAAAGCUCUGUCCAAGGGGAAGAUAAUGACAGUACCCUUGGAGGAAGCCCCGGCUAAAUACGUGCCAGCCGCCGCCGUAACAC
rnacentral:rRNA from 1 species